AAUAAAGUGCCUGAAAAAGGAUUAUUCUGAUAGGAUAAAUCAUGUAAAUAAAAUUUACCUUUAUUA
rnacentral:tRNA from 1 species